rnacentral:rRNA from 1 species
UAAUUGGGGCUAAGUCGUAACAAGGUAGCCGUACCGGAAGGUGCGGCUGGAACACCUCCUUUCUGGAGC